rnacentral:siRNA from 1 species
AUCCUCUACUCCCGUGAUUUCAGC